rnacentral:lncRNA from 1 species
UUAUUAACAGAUGUGGGGGAGGCUGGUCCCUCAGGUCUCAGGUCAGUCAGUCCCUGCUGCUCACACACACAGGCAUAACCUCUGUUUGGAGCAUCAGCAGUGAUGACUGAUAGUCACAUGCUUCACCUUAUUGCCCCAUCUCCAGGUGCACAGAACUGUGGUGAAAAGCCACUCAGGACUCAGCCCCACGGGGUGAACAGAGGGUCACUGCCAUGCACUUCUCCAAGACCCCAGCUUUGUCUCCAUCCAUGAGGGAAUGGGCCGUCUGCUGGCAAUCCUAAGUGUAAAUAUAUUUUCUCCUGUUCCUCACAGUUGCUUUUCAAGAUCAUCAAAGGUCUUGGGCAGCAGAUCUAUGCAGUGGGUAGGAGGAGUGGAGAUUGUGUUCAGGAAGCAAGUGACUCACUUGGCUCAUUUAAGUGAUGCAGAUGGGUAUCCUGGAGAGGACAGGAAGCACCCCCAAGAUCCAGGGUUCCCUGGGAAAGCAGACCCACUGCAGGGCACCCAAGGCACUGCGAAAGCUGUUCCUUCAAAGCAACAAUCCCUGAAGACUGUCCCUUGCAGCCACUGUCACAUUACAGAACUCUGGGCUGUUUGAACAAAGAUCAAACCUACUUUAAUAGAGAUUAUGGUUUCAUCAGGAUACAAGUAAGAUGGAUUUAGGAUCUUGUAAAAACAAAAACAAAAACAAAAACUAACUCUUCUCAUGGAAGUGAGAAAUUCCCAGCAGCAAGGAAAUCCUUCAGAGUGAAGACGCUCUUCAAACACACAAAAGCAUCCGUGGUAACCCUUGUGACAGCCUUGUCUAGUCAGUCCUUUGAAUACAGUCAUCUGCCUUUUCACUCUGGGGUUGCAUCUUAAGACCCCCAGUGAUUCUGGAAACUGAGGAUUGGACUGAACCCUAUAUGUGCCUAUAGUUUUCUUUUUUUCCCUAACAUAUGUACCCAUGGGAAAAGUUCAAUUUAAAAAAUAUACACAGUAAAGAAAUUAAUGACAUGGGGCUGGGAUUGUGGCUCAGCGGUAGAGCGCUCGCCUAGCACGGGUGGGACCUGGGUUCAAUCCUCAGCACCACAUAAAAAUAAAGGCAUUGUGUUGUGUCCAUCUACACCUAAAAAAUAAAAAAAAAAAAAAGAAAUUAAUGACAAUCACUAAUAAUAAAACAGAAUAAUUAUAAAAGUUAUGUAAGUAUGCUC